rnacentral:rRNA from 1 species
UACGUAGGGUCCGAGCGUUGUCCGGAGUUACUGGGCGUAAAGGGCGCGCAGGUGGCUCUGUAUGUUUGCCGUGAAAGCAUACAGCUCAACUGUAUUGUGUCGGUAGAAACUGCAGGACUUGAGGCUGGGAGGGGCUGGUGGAAUUCCCUGUGUAGCGGUGAAAUGCGUAGAGAUGGGGGAGAACACUCGUGGCGAAGGCGGCCAGCUAGACCAGUUCUGACACUGAGGCGCGACAGCGUGGGGAGCAAACAGG